UUUGUUCAGGGUGCUAAAUAGUACUGAAAAUUGAUAACAAAUCAAGUCAGCCUAAUUUACAGUCUCGAAGUUAGGUGACAUUACAUUAAACAGAUGAUCAACCAUCAAAAUUACUACAGCAGUGUUUAUUUUCCAGAUCACAUUUUGUAGUCUUUGAAAUGUCAGAUAUGCACUCCCACUGAGAGGCAAAUGUGGAUAUACAUAUGCGAGGAUGUCAUCAACAUGGAGAAGAUUGAAAGCAAAUGUGCAAGGAUUCAUUACAGAUUUAAUCCUUCCAACAAUUCUGAUUAAACAAGGGACCGACAGGUUGUUUGAUUCUGAGGAUUUGGGUUAUUGAUUAUUGACAUAGGAACUGAAUCCCCUGAAUAUUUCACCAAAUGGAAUUUUGGAUGUGAAUUUACCUAAAUACAUUUAUGUUAAAAUAAAUUUCAUAUUACUAUUGGAAAUUGAAAACCAGUAUUACUUCCAAUAAGUAGAAACUGACUGUAAAAACUAUAACUCUUAAAAUAAGGUGUUUAUCUAUGUAACACCUUCAAAUUUCUGAUGUACCACCGGUGUAGACCUAAUACACUCUUAGAAAUGCUGGUCUAGAAAAGACAGACAUGGUCCUUGAUGUCCAAAAUAAUUGUUUUAGUACCAACUUCACCACCUACUUUGUGUCUUCAGGUAAGUUACCUGACUUCUCUGAGCCUCAGAUAUUUUAUCUCUAUUUUAUAAAGUGGAAAACUUUUAU
rnacentral:lncRNA from 1 species